UACGAGGGGGGCAAGCGUUGUUCGGAAUUAUUGGGCGUAAAGGGCGCGUAGGCGGUUUGACAAGUCGAAUGUGAAAGCCCCCGGCUCAACUGGGGAACGUCAUUCGAUACUGUUCGGCUCGAAGAUAGGAGAGGGAAGCGGAAUUUCAGGUGUAGUGGUGAAAUGCGUAGAUAUCUGAAGGAACACCAGUGGCGAAGGCGGCUUUCUGGCCUAUUCUUGACGCUGAGGCGCGAAAGCUAGGGGAGCGAACGGG
rnacentral:rRNA from 1 species